GUGGGGAAUAUUGGACAAUGGGCGCAAGCCUGAUCCAGCCAUGCCGCGUGAGUGAUGAAGGCCUUAGGGUUGUAAAGCUCUUUCAGUGGGGACGAUAAUGACGGUACCCACAGAAGAAGCCCCGGCUAACUUCGUGCCAGCAGCCGCGGUAAUACGAAGGGGGCUAGCGUUGUUCGGAAUUACUGGGCGUAAAGCGCACGUAGGCGGAUCGUUAAGUCGGGGGUGAAAUCCUGGAGCUCAACUCCAGAACUGCCUUGGAUACUGGCGAUCUGGAGUCCGGAAGAGGUGAGUGGAACUCCUAGUGUAGAGGUGGAAUUCGUAGAUAUUAGGAAGAACACCAGUGGCGAAGGCGGCUCACUGGUCCGGUACUGACGCUGAGGUGCGAAAGCGUGGGGAGCAAACAGGAUUAGAAACCCUGGUAGUCC
rnacentral:rRNA from 1 species